rnacentral:rRNA from 1 species
GACAGGGGGUGCAAACGUUGUUCGGAUUUACUGGGCGUAAAGCGCGUGUAGGCGGCUUUGCAAGUCGGAUGUGAAAGCCCACGGCUCAACCGUGGAAGUGCAUCCGAAACUGCAUGGCUUGAGUCUCGGAGAGGAAGGUGGAAUGCUUGGUGUAGAGGUGAAAUUCGUAGAUAUCAAGCAGAACACCUGCGGCGAAGGCGGCCUUCUGGACGAUGACUGACGCUGAGACGCGAAAGCGUGGGGAGCAAACAGG